UAAGCAUAUCAAUAAGCGGAGGAAAAGAAACCAACAGGGAUUGCCUCAGUAACGGCGAGUGAAGCGGCAACAGCUCAAAUUUGAAAUCUGGCGCCUUGUGCGCCCGAGUUGUAAUUUGUAGAGGAUGUUUCGGGUGCGGCACCGAUCUAAGUUCCUUGGAACAGGGCGUCAUAGAGGGUGAGAAUCCCGUAUGUGACCGGUCGCCUAUCCCAUGUGAAACUCCUUCGACGAGUCGAGUUGUUUGGGAAUGCAGCUCAAAAUGGGUGGUAUAUUUCAUCUAAAGCUAAAUAUUGGCCAGAGACCGAUAGCGCACAAGUAGAGUGAUCGAAAGAUGAAAAGCACUUUGGAAAGAGAGUUAAAAAGUACGUGAAAUUGUUGAAAGGGAAGCGCUUGCGACCAGACUCGCCCGGGGGUGAUCAACCGUCCUUUUGGGCGGUGCACUUUCCCUCGGGCGGGCCAGCAUCGGUUCGGGCGGCUGGAUAAAGGCUUCGGGAAUGUAGCUCCUCUCGGGGAGUGUUAUAGCCCGGGGUGCAAUGCAGCCAGUCUGGACCGAGGACCGCGCUUUUGCUAGGAUGCUGGCGUAAUGGUCGUCAGCGACCCGUCUUGAAACACGGACCAAGGAGUUAACCACCGGUGCGAGUGUUUGGGUGUCAAACCCGUACGCGUAAUGAAAGUGAACGGAGGUGAGAACCCCUUUCGGGGCGCAUCAUCGACCGAUCCUGAUGUCUUCGGAUGGAUUUGAGUAAGAGCACCGUUGGUUUGACCCGAAAGAUGGUGAUCUUUACGCGGAUAGGGUGAAGCCAGAGGAAACUCUGGUG
rnacentral:rRNA from 1 species